AUAUAUAAUUUAUACUUUAAAAUAAUUAUUCAUUUUUAGAAGUUCAGUUAGUUUAAUAUUAAGGUAUUUACAAAAGUAAUAAAUUUUACAAUAAUUUUCGCCAUUUAUCGUAGAAGGUUAGUUUAAUAUCAUAUUAUGACUUUGUUAUACGAAAAUUCAAUUGAAACGUAUUGUUUGAAGUAUAUUUUAUUGGUAAUUAAAGCUUAAAUGUUUUAUAUAUAUAAUCAAUACAAACAAUAUUUUUUUUUUUAUUACUACGUUGAAUAAUAUUCUAAACUAUCUUAAAUAUAUGUAUUAAUAAAAAAAUUAUUUGAUUUUAUAGAGUGUCUUUGUUACUUAGAAUCGACGCCAAUCCUUAUAGAUUAAGAUGGCUGGAGUAAUAAUGUACAAUGUUUUUCUUUUGUGUAACGAUUGUUUCCAGUAUGACUAGACCCAAUAAGAAUCCAGGGUUUUAGUCCUGAGUUACGAAGUCGUUUUAGGGACGAGGCAUAUAGAAGUCGAACCUUAUGGUUGUUUCAUUGGUGAGACUAAAGCAGCUUGCUUUCCAAUGCAGUAGGUGCAGGCUAUAGGGCAGUCGUAAGUUAAACUUACCACGAAGCUGCAGCAGAUCGAGUGGCUACGCAGGCGUUGCCACUACAAAUCAUGGGUGUUGUAUUACACAGGGCCUCGCAUCAGGGUACUAUUAGAAAGCUGAUGGUAUUUCUGGUUUUAAGUGAGAGCAAGGGUAGCAAAGAUGAAAAAGAUGACCUGGUAAGAUGACUCUAUAGGACAACGACACAGUAAGACUGUAUAUUAUGAGGUAUUAAUAUUAUUAUAUUUUUUUUGCUGCUUAGAGAUUUAAAAUAUAUAAGAAGCAAGCAUUCGCAAGUUUAGGUUUUAAGGAGGAAUUAGUAAUCCUCCCGUAGUCAAUUUUACAUGCACCAUGUUAAAUGGGAGCAUUCAAAGUUGGCAUUGCUGAUAAAGAAGUUUGAUUUACUUCAAAUGAGUAAGACUCUGCUGAAUGUUAACAUACUGCAGAGCCUAGUCUUUCAUGACAUUUCUUUUGCGGUAAUUCACUUUGGGUAUAUUACAAAGGGUUGCUUUUUGAUACAGCAUCAAACAGACAUAAGUCUCAAUUUCAUUAACAAAUCUGAAACUUCGAUGUCACGUCAUGUCGACAAUUUAACUUGCUUGCUAAGGCUGUUGUUCUUUUUGUGUACUGUGGCUAUGUGCUUAGAAAUUCAAAAUUACAUAUGACCUUUUAACAUAUUAUGUAUUCCCUACAAACCAAUCAAUACUUGGUUAGUUUUUUUUUUUUUUUUUUUUUUUUUUUUUUUUUUUUUGGUCUUAAUAAUGGAUAUGAAAUACUUUCAUUAUGUCUGAUGAUAAAAUAUCUUAAAACAGAAUUGAUUAAAUGUUGUAAUGAAAUUUAAUAAUGUAAGAAAAUUAUUGUAUCAUCUUGAUCGGUUACCAAUGAGGUUGUAUUUGACAAAGUAAUGUCAAAUUAUUUGAUAAAGUAAUUUCACAUUUAAUUCAUCUCCAGAAGUGAUAGUAUCCUAAUAAAAGUGAUGGCUUAAUAUAAUAAGUAAGUUUUGAGUGCGUUGAAAUAUGUUGAUGAAAAAUAAUACUCUAAAGAAGUAGGGUUGUAGUAGUAAUAGUUCAAGUAUUUGUUGUGCUUUCGAUAAGUAUUUUUUCUGAAGUCUGCACGAAAAUCUGCAGCGUUUUUGUCAAAGAAAAGAGGGAGAGAGCGAUUGAGACUUGAACACCGAUGGUGUUUUUAAUACAUAUCAAUAUCAUUAUUAUUUUAUUAUGGGAAAAAAUUACCAUUUUUUUUUUUGUUGGUUUGGACCUUUUGCUAAGACCCAGUUGGCUAUUUUACAAAAUGUGGACAUUAGUUAGCAAUUAUGAUAGUAAUUUCUUAUAUUAUUGAACUAAUUUAACUAAUUUUAGCUCUGGUUUUUAAUUAGCCUUGGUAUCAUUUAAUAAUAUAGAAAGACUGGGAAAAUUAAAUUAUGGGAUUUGGUCAGCUUAAUUACUCAAUAAUUAAUCUACAAAGAAGUUUCACUUUUGACAUGUGUACCUUGUACUUACGCACUAUUUAUUCGUAUAAUUGACAUAGACUAGAAUAUUUCUUUAUUUAUUUAGUUAAUAAGCUUACGACAUCACACACAGUACUAAAUCUACUAAUUAUUUUACAAAAUCUUACAUCUUAAAUGUGUGACAAUUAAUGUAAACAUAAGUUUUACAAAAAAAUAUAUAAAUUAUAAAGUACAAUUAAAACAUAUACGAAUAUCAAUUUCACAUGAUAAAUUCACUAUUGUGAAUAUAAAGAGAUCAUAAUGGACUUAGUUUGGUAAAACUUUAUUGUGAUCUUAAAAGAUCACAGUAGUUUCAGUUAUGUAGGACUUUAUUGUGAAUAUAAAGAUAUCUCAAAGGAUUUA